rnacentral:rRNA from 1 species
CUUUUAUGGAGAGUUUGAUCCUGGCUCAGGACGAACGCUGGCGGCGUGCCUAAUACAUGCAAGUCGAGCGGAGUCGGAUGGAAGCUUGCUUCCAUCCUGCUUAGCGGCGGACGGGUGAGUAACACGUAGGCAACCUGCCUGUAAGACCGGGAUAACAUUCGGAAACGAAUGCUAAUACCGGAUAUGCAAUUCAGCUGCAUGGCUGAAUUGGGAAAGACGGUGCAAGCUGUCACUUACAGAUGGGCCUGCGGUGCAUUAGCUAGUUGGUGGGGUAACGGCUCACCAAG